rnacentral:rRNA from 1 species
GAUGAACGCUGGCGGCGUGCCUAAUACAUGCAAGUAGAACGCUGAAGGAGGAGCUUGCUCUUCUGGAUGAGUUGCGAACGGGUGAGUAACGCGUAGGUAACCUGCCUGGUAGCGGGGGAUAACUAUUGGAAACGAUAGCUAAUACCGCAUGACAACAGUUAUUGCAUGAUAACUGUUUAAAAGGGGCAACUGCUCCACUACCAGAUGGACCUGCGUUGUAUUAGCUAGUUGGUGAGGUAACGGCUCACCAAGGCGACGAUACAUAGCCGACCUGAGAGGGGGAUCGGCCACCCUGGGACUGAGACACGGCCCAGGCUCCUACGGGAGGCAGCAGUAGGGAAACUUCGGCAAUGGACGGAAGUCUGACCGAGCAACGCCGCGGGAGUGAAGAAGGUUUUCGGAUCGUAAAGCUCUGUUGUAAGGGAAGAACGAGUGUGAGAGUGGAAAGUUCACACUGUGACGGUAUCUUACCAGAAAGGGACGGCUAACUACGUG